CACCUUCCAUCCGCUUUAACCUGACCUUUGUGGGGAAGGAGGGGGAUGACAAAGCGAGGCCUGUCAUCAUCCACCGGGCCAUUCUAGGCUCUGUGGAGAGGAUGAUAGCCAUCCUGACUGAGAACUAUGCAGGGAAAUGGCCCCUCUGGCUGUCUCCA